rnacentral:rRNA from 1 species
UACGUAGGGUGCAAGCGUUGUCCGGAAUUAUUGGGCGUAAAGAGCUCGUAGGCGGUUUGUCACGUCUGCUGUGAAAUCCCGAGGCUCAACCUCGGGCCUGCAGUGGGUACGGGCAGACUAGAGUGCGGUAGGGGAGAUUGGAAUUCCUGGUGUAGCGGUGGAAUGCGCAGAUAUCAGGAGGAACACCGAUGGCGAAGGCAGAUCUCUGGGCCGUAACUGACGCUGAGGAGCGAAAGCGUGGGGAGCGAACAGG